AUUGUUCACUCUCCCUCAAAGGCUUCUAGCAGCGCCAGGCAUAUGUGCAUGGCGAGGCUGGAGGUCAUCGGGGAGAGUGGACAA
rnacentral:pre_miRNA from 1 species